CCCUUAGAUGUUCUGGGCCGCACGCGCGCUACACUGAUGCAUUCAACGAGCCUAUCCUUGACCGACAGGUCCGGGUAAUCUUUGAAUCUGCAUCGUGACGGGGAUAGAUUAUUGCAAUUAUUAGUCUUCAACGAGGAAUGCCUAGUAGGCGCAAGUCAUCAGCUUGCGUCGAUUACGUCCCUGCCCUUUGUACACACCGCCCGUCGCUCCUACCGAUUGGGUGUGCUGGUGAAAUGUUCGGAUCGGCCGUUUGUCGCGGUUUCCGCGUCAUGUGGCUGAGAAGUUCAUUAAACCCUCCCACCUAGAGGAAGGAGAAGUCGUAACA
rnacentral:rRNA from 1 species